AUUGAACGCUGGCGGAAUGCUUUACACAUGCAAGUCGAACGGCAGCACGGACUUCGGUCUGGUGGCGAGUGGCGAACGGGUGAGUAGUGUAUCGGAACGUGCCCAGUCGUGGGGGAUAACGUAGUGAAAAUUACGCUAAUACCGCAUACGAUCUAUGGAUGAAAGCGGGGGAUCGCAAGACCUCGCGCGAUUGGAGCGGCCGAUAUCAGAUUAGGUAGUUGGUGGGGUAAAGGCCCACCAAGCCAACGAUCUGUAGCUGGUCUGAGAGGACGACCAGCCACACUGGAACUGAGACACGGUCCAGACUCCUACGGGAGGCAGCAGUGGGGAAUUUUGGACAAUGGGCGAAAGCCUGAUCCGGCCAUUCCGCGUGCAGGAUGAAGGCCCUCGGGUUGUAAACUGCUUUUGUACAGAACGAAAGGGUUUCUACUAAUACUAGGAGCUCAUGACGGUACUGUAAGAAUAAGCACCGGCUAACUACGUGCCAGCCGCCGCCGUAA
rnacentral:rRNA from 1 species